GACGAACGCUGGCGGCGUGCUUAACACAUGCAAGUCGAACGGAAAGGCCCUGCUUUUGCGGGGUGCUCGAGUGGCGAACGGGUGAGUAACACGUGAGUAACCUGCCCUUGACUUUGGGAUAACUUCAGGAAACUGGGGCUAAUACCGGAUAGGAGCUCCUGCUGCAUGGUGGGGGUUGGAAAGUUUCGGCGGUUGGGGAUGGACUCGCGGCUUAUCAGCUUGUUGGUGGGGUAGUGGCUUACCAAGGCUUUGACGGGUAGCCGGCCUGAGAGGGUGACCGGCCACAUUGGGACUGAGAUACGGCCCAGACUCCUACGGGAGGCAGCAGUGGGGAAUAUUGCACAAUGGGCGGAAGCCUGAUGCAGCAACGCCGCGUGCGGGAUGACGGCCUUCGGGUUGUAAACCGCUUUCGCCUGUGACGAAGCGUGAGUGACGGUAAUGGGUAAAGGAGCACCGGCUAACUACGUG
rnacentral:rRNA from 1 species